ACUCCUACGGGAGGCAGCAGUGAGGAAUAUUGGUCAAUGGGCGCAAGCCUGAACCAGCCAUGCCGCGUGCAGGAAGACUGCCUUAUGGGUUGUAAACUGCUUUUAUAUGGGAAGAAACCCCUCUACGUGUAGAGGCUUGACGGUACCAUAAGAAUAAGCACCGGCUAACUCCGUGCCAGCAGCCGCGGUAAUACGGAGGGUGCAAGCGUUAUCCGGAAUCAUUGGGUUUAAAAGGGUCCGCAGGCGGUCAAAUUAAAGUCAGAGGUGAAAUCCUAUAGCUUAAACUAUAGAAACUGCCUUUGAUACUGGUUGACUUGAGUUAUACGGAAGUAGGUAGAAAUGUGUAGUGUAGCGGUGAAAAUGCAUAGAUAUUACACAGAAUACCGAUUGCGAAGGCAGCCUACUACGUAUAUACUGACGCUCAUGGACGAAAGCGUGGGAGCGAAACAGGAUUAGAUACCCUGGUAGGUGA
rnacentral:rRNA from 1 species